ACCCGCUGAACUUAAGCAUAUCAAUAAGCGGAGGAAAAGAAACCAACAGGGAUUGCCCUAGUAACGGCGAGUGAAGCGGCAACAGCUCAAAUUUGAAAUCUGGCUCUUUUAGAGUCCGAGUUGUAAUUUGCAGAGGGCGCUUUGGCUUUGGCAGCGGUCCAAGUUCCUUGGAACAGGACGUCACAGAGGGUGAGAAUCCCGUACGUGGUCGCUGGCUAUUGCCGUGUAAAGCCCCUUCGACGAGUCGAGUUGUUUGGGAAUGCAGCUCUAAAUGGGGGGUACAUUUCUUCUAAAGCUAAAUAUUGGCCAGAGACCGAUAGCGCACAAGUAGAGUGAUCGAAAGAUGAAAAGCACUUUGGAAAGAGAGUCAAACAGCACGUGAAAUUGUUGAAAGGGAAGCGCUUGCAGCCAGACUUGCUUACAGUUGCUCAUCCGGGCUUUUGCCCGGUGCACUCUUCUGUAGGCAGGCCAGCAUCAGUUUGGGCGGUAGGAUAAAGGUCUCUGUCACGUACCUCUCUUCGGGGAGGCCUUAUAGGGGAGACGACAUACUACCAGCCUGGACUGAGGUCCGCGCAUCUGCUAGGAUGCUGGCGUAAUGGCUGU
rnacentral:rRNA from 1 species